AUGAGUGGUCCGGAAGAAGGGGGGCUGGGCUAGAGGGGGACUGGGGCGGUGAGGCCCAGACGGAAGGAGGUUUGGGAAGGGAGGGGGCGCGAGCCCGGAUCCCCGCCCCCUCCCCUUCCAGAACUGCAGCGCCUCCUGACAGACAGUGAGCCCGGAUUUUGUUAUGUGAUGUACACACGGGGAGCAGACAGAAACAAUACAUUGUUAACUCGAAAGCAAGGUUGUUGCACAAUAUAGAUACUUUAUCCGUUUUUGUAAAAUGAAGAAUGAUAAACCAAUCAUCUUCGGUGUUUGUGUAUUUAUGUGAAUGCAAAACAAAAGGUCUGGGAGAAUACACUCCGCUCUUGAUUACGUCUGAAGUCUGGAGAGCCAAGGAGAAUUCUCGCUUUUUAGUUUCGAAAUAUUGGCAAUUAGAAAAACAGACAAUUUGCAAAAGCAAAAAACAAAAAGAAAUGUAGCUGGGACCUAGAAUCCAAAUCAUCCGCCCCUGUCUGUGAUACUUGUUCACCUGGACUUCGAACAACAGCCACAGGCCAUACUCUGUUUGCCUGGGUUUGGAGUAGUUUGUCUCAUUUAAUUCCAGCCCUGGGGCAGCUGUUAUUUUUCCAAUUCACAGGUGAGAAAUGGAGACUCUGAGAGGUAAGUAACUUGCCCAAGGCCACACAGCAAGACCUGGGAGGAAGGUCGACCCAAUUCAGCCUAACGGAUAAGUUUAGAGGUUACCACAGAGCACAGUGCCCCGCACUCAGUAGGCGCUAUGUAAAUAUUGGUUGGUUUGUUGAAAGGAGGAAUGAGUGGCUCUUCUAGGCUGGUAGUGGAGACUCAAGAAGAAUCAGGGGAUUAUCUUUUUUUAAUUACCUGACAAGAGAGAACAGAAAAUGAAAAGCUUAGGUCUUAAGAGUGCUCUGGGAAGAGAGGGGAGGAUAUGUUAAAAGACCACAAAGGGAGUAAAAUUCAAGUCAGCCAGUGCUCUGCUCCAUUGGCAGGUCUGGAAGGGGAGUGUCGCCCUCUGGGGACAGGAGGGCUGCUAGGUUCCGGGGAGUUCACUGGCUACAGAUGACUUCACUCCUGCCAAACCCAAGGAUCAGGCUGCAUCCAAAUCCCUUCCAGGGUUCAGGAAACACUUUCCUUUCUGCACUUCCCUGGGGUGACAACAGCGACAAUGGAAACUUGGCAACUCUGCGUGUGGGUGGAGAAACUCUUCAGACCCCUAAACUGAGCAGAAGGGGAAUUUCAUCCAUCCCUACAGCCCUAAUGCAGAUUUUAUGUAUUUAUAAUUUUAUUUUGCCCAAAAUGUGAUCACUGAGUUCCGUUAUAUUGCAAUUUAGUAUUUUUGCAUGAUACUUAUAAAUGUAUUUCUUUA